UACAGGGGGGGGCAAGCGUUUGUUCGGAAUUACUGGGCGUAAAGGGCUCGUAGGCGGCCAACUAAGUCAGACGUGAAAAUCCCUCGGCUUAACCGGGGAACUGCGUCUGAUACUGGAUGGCUUGAGUUUGGGGAGAGGGAUGCGGAAUUCCAGGUGUAGCGGUGAAAUGCGUAGAUAUCUGGAGGAACACCGGUGGCGAAGGCGGCAUCCUGGACCAACACUGACGCUGAGUGAGCGAAAGCCAGGGGAGCAAACGGG
rnacentral:rRNA from 1 species